rnacentral:rRNA from 1 species
UAUGUAGGCGGUUUUGUAAGUUCGGUGUGAAAUCUCCCGGCUCAACUGGGAGGGUGCGCCGAAAACUGCAAGGCUAGAGUGUGGGAGAGGAAAGCGGAAUUCCUGGUGUAGCGGUGAAAUGCGUAGAUAUCAGGAGGAACACCAGCGGUGUAGACGGCUUUCUGGACCAUUACUGACGCUGAGAUACGAAAGCGUGGGGAGCAAACAGGAUUAGAUACCCUGGUAGUCCACGCCCUAAACGAUGCGGACUUGGUGUGGGCAGUUCAUUCUGUCCGUGCCGGAGCUAACGCGUUAAGUCCGCCGCCUGGGGAGUACGGUCGCAAGGCUGAA